UGACCUCAGAUCAGGCAAAGCAACCCGCUGAAUUUAAGCAUAUUAAUAAGCGGAGGAAAAGAAACUAACAAGGAUUCCUCUAGUAAUGGCGAAUGAAGCGGGAACAGCUCAAAUUUAAAAUCUCCGUUGCCUAAUCUCCGUUACCCUACUGCCUCCUCGUGGCGAGAGUCGUGAGUAGGUUGCCUUGGCAACCGAAACUAAAUCUGUUCCAGCGGCUUUAGGCGACGAGCGUGGUGGAGAGCUGUACCUUACUGUAACCAGUUCUUCAAAUACCUCUGCUCCGAGCGUACCAGCCGGAGAUCAAUUUGCAUACAGCGAGUGAGACCCGUGUAGAAGCAGUGAAGGUGCCAUAACUGCCUGGCAGGGUGCCGGAUGGUGUGGAGCGGGGAAGAUGUUCUGACGAGAUCGGCCUUUUGGGCUGGUCUCUGACGUCCAUCGCUCAUGGAGCCAGCGAGCGUCACAAUUGCCGCCCUUACGGGCUUCGCGAAAGGUUAGACUAAUGGCUUAGUCGCGUGGACCAUGGGCUCUCUGGGGAGGUUCUAGGCCCAAUGGCUGAACUUUCCCCCUAGGGUUGACGAGAGAAAGGUUGAUUAACUCUGGUAAAAUGAGCAACUACCAGAGGGGGUUCGAGAGCUUCGGCUCGCUAGCAAUGCCCGCCCAUUAGGUGCGCAGUGACGUAUGUCACUCCUAGGGUGUGGUGCCGAACCGGCGGGGGCUCACGUCCCGACCUCGGUCAAUCGAUGUCGGCUCUUCCUAUCAUUGCGAAGCAGAAUUCGCCAAGUGUUGGAUUGUUCACCCACUAAUAGGGAACGUGAGCUGGGUUUAGACCGUCGUGAGACAGGUUAGUUUUACCCUACUGAUGAAGUGUUGUUGUGCAAUAGUAAUUCUGCUCAGUACGAGAGGAACCGCAGAUUCAGACAAUUGGCAUUUGCACUUGGCUGAAAAGCCC
rnacentral:rRNA from 1 species